rnacentral:rRNA from 1 species
GACAGAGGCCUCGAGCGUUAGGCGGAAUUACUGGGCGUAAAGGGCUCGUAGGCGGCCAACUAAGUCGGAUGUGAAAUCCCCAAGCUUAACUUGGGAACUGCAUCCGAUACUGGAUGGCUUGAAUCCGGGAGAGGGAUGCAGAAUUCCAGGUGUAGCGGUGAAAUGCGUAGAUAUCUGGAGGAAUACCGGUGGCGAAGGCGGGUCUCUGGGCCGAUACUGACGCUGAGGAGCGAAAGCCAGGGGAGCGAACGGG